CAUAAGCGCACAGCUUCGCAUGAAGCAGUGUGAAAAACUCCGGUGGUACAAGAUGGACCCGCGUCUGAUUAGCUGGUUGGUGAGGUAACGGCCCACCAAGGCGACGAUCAGUAGCCGGCCUGAGAGGGUGAACGGCCACAUUGGGACUGAGACACGGCCCAAACUCCUACGGGAGGCAGCAGUGGGGAAUAUUGCACAAUGGGGGAAACCCUGAUGCAGCAACGCCGCGUGAGUGAAGAAGUAUUUCGGUAUGUAAAGCUCUAUCAGCAGGAAAGAAAAUGACGGUACCUGACUAAGAAGCCCCGGCUAACUACGUGCCAGCAGCCGCGGUAAUACGUAGGGGGCAAGCGUUAUCCGGAUUUACUGGGUGUAAAGGGAGCGUAGACGGUUUUGCAAGUCUGAAGUGAAAGCCCGGGGCUUAACCCCGGGACUGCUUUGGAAACUGUAGGACUAGAGUGCAGGAGAGGUAAGUGGAAUUCCUAGUGUAGCGGUGAAAUGCGUAGAUAUUAGGAGGAACACCAGUGGCGAAGGCGGCUUACUGGACUGUAACUGACGUUGAGGCUCGAAAGCGUGGGGAGCAAACAGGAUUAGAUACCCUGGUAGUCCACGCCGUAAACGAUGAUUACUAGGUGUUGGUGGGUACGACCCAUCGGUGCCGCAGCAAACGCAAUAAGUAAUCCACCUGGGGAGUA
rnacentral:rRNA from 1 species